GCUCCAGUGGCGUAAUCGGUUAGCGCGCGGUACUUAUAAUGCCGAGGUUGUGAGUUCGAGCCUCACCUGGAGCA